rnacentral:lncRNA from 1 species
UUGGUCACCAGUAAUCAUUUUAACGUUGACACCAAGCUCAAGGGCUCGUCUGAUCGUUUCUGCACUAUCAUGUCUUGGGGGAUCAAACAGUGGCAAUAGACCAAUAAACUCCCAUGGACUACCAUCGCUUUCCUUGCUCUUUUCAGGUACAGUCUACAUUUGAACACAAACGAAUGUAAAAGAAAAAAAAUACAAUUGUAAAAACGAUUUUUAAGUGAUGAGUGUUUCUGUUACAUACUUGUUGAGCAACUCCAAGAGAACGAAGCCCACGUUCAGCAAAACCAUCAAUCACUUCAUGAGCUUUUCUUCUAGCCUCUCCUUGGAGAUUGCAGAGUUCAAUGAUCUUAAAAAAAAAAAGGUGGUAUUAGGUAAAAGAGAAAACAUAUAAUAAGUUUCACUAAUAUAGAUCUUAGUUUCUAUUACUUGCUCAGGAGCUCCUUUGCUGCUCCGAUACCAUUCUCCAUUUUCAUCAAUGUAUGUAAUGGCUGUACGUUUAUCGACAGGGUUAAAAGGCAAGAAAUGCACCUCUUUGAUUCCUUCUCUCGCCUAGUGAUCACAUCGUGAUUAGUUGCAAAAUAAGGAUAAAGAGUUGACCAAAAUCAACCAAGUUUCACAAAAAGAAGUACCUCUUUUGGAUCACCCAACAUGCCAACAAUGGAUGCAUCAAUGGCGUCUUGGUUUUCGAUUCUAGACGCUCUUGCAGCCAUCAAUACAACUGCAUCGGUAUCCAAGUUACUUGGAAAUACUUCAAUCAAUGACUUGUCUACGGAGAGCUUGUUAAGAGUGAGAGUCCCUGUCUUAUCACUGCAGAGAACAUCCAUUCCAGCCAUUUCUUCAAUCGCAGUCAUCCUCUUGGUGAUGGCACCUUGUUGAGAGAGUCUAUGUGAUCCAAUAGCCAUUGUUACCGACAAAACUGUUGGCAUGGCGAUUGGGAUUCCUCCAAUCAAAAGCACCAAAAGAUUAUCAAUACCGUCUCUAUAUGUGCGGUGUUGAAUAGGGUACAUUACUACGAUCUCAAUCAACAUCCCAAUUCCAAUUGAGCAAAUACAGAAGUUACCAAUAGCUGUCAAAACCUGAACAAAAGCCAACAAAAAAAUAUGUUUGUGAGAAUGUAGGCUGACGGUUGCAUCAUCUAACUGUUGUUCGUUUCUGAAAUUAGUUUCUUACCUUUUGGAAGUGGCCAACGUUGUUGGUACUGUCGACAAGAUGGGCAGCCUUACCGAAGAAAGUGUGGACACCAGUGGCUAUGACAACGGCCUCAAUCUCACCUUGUUUGCAAGUUGAACCCGAGAAUACUUCAUCUCCAGGGUGUUUGGUGACUGGAAGAGAUUCACCGGUGAGAGCAGAUUGGUCAAUUUUCAGAGGAUCUCCUUGGAGGAGACGAGCAUCAGCAGGGACAAUGUCACCCAGUUUGACGCUUAUUAGAUCACCUGGAACUAGAAUUGAAGCGUCUUGCUCUCCCCAUUUUCCAUCUCUCAACACCUACAUUGCAUUAAAGCUCCUUUUUAAGAAUAUAUAUUAAACUUUGUAUUAUAAAAUUUGGAUCACUGCAUACCUUGGUUUUGGGUGCAAGAUUAGCCAUGAGAGCUGCAGCAGCAUUGCCGGCAUUAUUCUCUUCAAUGAAACUAAUGGUGGAAUUGAUAACAAGUAACACCAUAAUACCGAUGAAAUCUUGCCAGUCCGGCGGCUUUCCACCACCAUUGGCUAAAACAAUGGCCAUAAUUGCAGCAGACUCCAUAACCCAUGAGAGAGGAUUCCACAUAAACCCCAAGAAUUUUAAAAACUUGUUUUCUGAUUUCUCCUCAAGCUUGUUUGCCCCAAAUAUCUCAAGCCUCUUCUUACCUUCAUCACUUGACAAACCUUCUUUUGUGCAUUUUAGUUGCUGAAACACUUCUUCCACAGGGAUCCGCUCCUGCAGUUGUCACAUAAUAAUUCUAACAUCACAAAUUUUCAGAGAAAAAAAGUUUUGCAGUUUCGUCAUUAAUAAGAUACAUCAGAUAAGUAAAGAUAUAUAUAUAUAUAUAUAUAUAAAAGUGAAAUGUGUUAAAUAAUUUUUACAAGAUCCACGUUCUCAUUCUUGAUUUCGUCCCAAGAGAUUUCAGAUGCCAUUUUUGCUCCUUAAAAGAGAUAUGAUCUAACAAAAGUAAAUAAUGAAGAAAGAAAGAUAUAAAAAGAUAUAUAUCCGUUGGAAGAAUCAAGUUAAACUCCCAUGGACUACCAUCGCUUUCCUUGCUCUUUUCAGGUACAGUCUACAUUUGAACACAAACGAAUGUAAAAGAAAAAAAAUACAAUUGUAAAAACGAUUUUUAAGUGAUGAGUGUU